CCUACGGGAGGCAGCAGUGGGGAAUAUUGGACAAUGGGCGAAAGCCUGAUCCAGCAAUGCCGCGUGAGUGAUGAAGGCCUUCGGGUCGUAAAGCUCUUUUACCAGGGAUGAUAAUGACAGUACCUGGAGAAUAAGCUCCGGCUAACUCCGUGCCAGCAGCCGCGGUAAUACGGAGGGAGCUAGCGUUGUUCGGAAUUACUGGGCGUAAAGAGUACGUAGGCGGUUAUUCAAGUCAGAGGUGAAAGCCCGGGGCUCAACCCCGGAACUGCCUUUGAAACUAGAUAACUAGAGUCUUGGAGAGGUUAGUGGAAUUCCGAGUGUAGAGGUGAAAUUCGUAGAUAUUCGGAAGAACACCAGUGGCGAAGGCGACUAACUGGACAAGUACUGACGCUGAGGUACGAAAGCGUGGGGAGCAAACAGGAUUAGAUACCCUGGUAGUCCACGCCGUAAACGAUGAUAACUAGUUGUUCGGUCACUUGGUGACUGAGUGACGCAGCUAACGCAUUAAGUUAUCCGCCUGGGGAGUACGGUCGCAAGNUUAAAAACUCAAAAUGAGUAGACGGACGUGUAGAGUUGCGAACGGACGACGACGAGGGAGGAGG
rnacentral:rRNA from 1 species